CAUUUCAACUUAUUUUUUCUCUUUUCUUUUUUUCUUACUUUGUAAUAAGAAAGGUAUGGGGACAACAUGCACACACGAAAGUUAAAAUAUUUCUACGGAACUCUUUUACAGGCUCAAUUAUUGAACGAUCAGAUACGGCAGUUGCAAGCAAAGGAGAGGUCUCUGAAAGAAGAGAAUGCAAAGCUUCUUGCAAAGUGUCUUGCAAAUCUCGGGCAAUCAACAGCUCAUCUGAGAGCAACGGCAAUACAUA